rnacentral:lncRNA from 13 species
GUUUCACUGAAUUCUACUGUGAAAGGGUUCUUGCAGACUGAUCACCAUGUGAGCCCUUCCACGGUGAGUCAGCCGUUAUUUCUCCCUCCCAGGGUCUCCGUCCAACGGUCCCUGUUAAAGCUGAUGAUGAGAAAUCUGACAUUAUCAUGGAGUUUCUCUUCCUAGGAGACCGCAUCCACAGCUACAGUGUGAUGACCAGGUUUACCCAGAUGACUUGUAACUCACUAUCUACAUGUUAGGCCAUUGCACCCAGCACUGAGCUCGAUGAAUCCAACAGCCCUCUGGACACAUAUCCUUGAAUAUCUCAAAAGAACCUCAAACUCACCUUUCAUACAACCAAACUCAUAAGCUUCUCCCAAAAACCCGGUCUGCCGGAGACAAGAGACGGAGGGGACAUCAAGAAGCUGUCGGCUUGUCUCCAGAGUUCAUCCGAGUGGAUAAAAUAUCCAGUUUGUUUCAAAUCAGCCUUUUUCCUUUGAAGCAUCAGCAUGUGCUUCAGUGGAAGCUUGUCCAGAGCACUGGAUCAGGAGUGGGACUCUGUAGCAAAUACCACAGGAGCAAGCUGGCUGGACAGGAGACAAAGCUCUCUGUGAGCUGAGAUGUCCAGUUGCUGUGUGUGAGCCACGAAGCCGA